GGAUCAGUAGGUUGGUCGUGCCACUGGUAUGUACUGGUCUCACUGGUUCCUCCUUCUUGUAGAACCGUAAUGCCAUUAAGUUGGUGUUGCGGGGAAACAGGACUGUUACUUUGAAAAAAUUAGAGUGUUUAAAGCAGGCUAACGCUUGAAUACAUUAGCAUGGAAUAACGGAAUAGGACU
rnacentral:rRNA from 1 species